rnacentral:rRNA from 1 species
UACGUAGGGUGCGAGCGUUGUCCGGAAUUAUUGGGCGUAAAGAGCUCGUAGGCGGUGUGUCACGUCGAUCGUGAAAACUUACAGCUUAACUGUGAGCGUGCGGUCGAUACGGGCAUCACUUGAGUUCGGUAGGGGAGACUGGAAUUCCUGGUGUAGCGGUGAAAUGCGCAGAUAUCAGGAGGAACACCGGUGGCGAAGGCGGGUCUCUGGGCAGUAACUGACGCUGGAGGCGCGAAAGCGUGGGUAGCAAACAGG